CAGCACCUCAAGUGGGCAGGAUGAUUAUUGGGCCUAAAGCAUCCGUAGCCGGCGCUGUAAGUUUUCGGUUAAAUCUGUACGCUCAACGUACAGGCUGCCGGGAAUACUGCAGCGCUAGGGAGUGGGAGAGGUAGACGGUACUCGGUAGGAAGGGGUAAAAUCCUUUGAUCUAUUGAUGACCACCUGUGGCGAAGGCGGUCUACCAGAACACGUCUGACGGUGAGGGAUGAAAGCUGGGGGAGCAAACCGGAUUAGAGACCCGAGUAGUCC
rnacentral:rRNA from 1 species